rnacentral:rRNA from 1 species
GACGAACGCUGGCGGCGUGCCUAAUACAUGCAAGUAGAACGCUGAAGGAGGAGCUUGCUUCUCUGGAUGAGUUGCGAACGGGUGAGUAACGCGUAGGUAACCUGCCUGGUAGCGGGGGAUAACUAUUGGAAACGAUAGCUAAUACCGCAUAAGAGUAGAUGUCGCAUGACAUUUGCUUAAAAGGUGCAAUUGCAUCACUACCAGAUGGACCUGCGUUGUAUUAGCUAGUUGGUGAGGUAACGGCUCACCAAGGCAACGAUACAUAGCCGACCUGAGGGGGUGAUCGGCCACACUGGGACUGAGACACGGCCCAGACUCCUACGGGAGGCAGCAGUAGGGAAUCUUCGGCAAUGGACGGAAGUCUGACCGAGCAACGCCGCGUGAGUGAAGAAGGGUUUCGGAUCGUAAAGCUCUGUUGUAAGAGAAGAACGAGUGUGAGAGUGGAAAGUUCACACUGUGACGGUAUCUUACCAGAAAGGGACGGCUAACUACGUG